rnacentral:rRNA from 2 species
UUCCGGUUGAUCCUGCCGGACCUGACUGCUAUCGGAUUGAUACUAAGCCAUGCGAGUCAUUGUAGCAAUACAAGGCAGACGGCUCAGUAACGCGUAGUCAACCUAACCUAUGGACGGGAAUAACCUCGGGAAACUGAGAAUAAUGCCCGAUAGAACACUAUAUCUGGAAUGGUUUGUGUUCCAAAUGAUUUAUCGCCGUAGGAUGGGACUGCGGCCUAUCAGUUUGUUGGUGAGGUAAUGGCCCACCAAGACUAUUACAGGUACGGGCUCUGAGAGGAGUAGCCCGGAGAUGGGUACUGAGACACGGACCCAGGCCCUAUGGGGCGCAGCAGGCGAGAAAACUUUGCAAUGUGCGAAAGCACGACAAGGUUAAUCCGAGUGGUUUGUGCUAAACGAACCUUUUGUCGGUCCUAGAAACACCGAUGAAUAAGGGGUGGGCAAGUUCUGGAGUCAGCCGCCGCGGUAAAACCAGCACCUCAAGUGGUCAGGAUGAUUAUUGGGCCUAAAGCAUCCGUAGCCGGCGCUAUAAGUUUUCGGUUAAAUCUGUACGCUCAACGUACAGGCUGCCGGGAAUACUGUAGCGCUAGGGAGUGGGAGAGGUAGACGGUACUCGGUAGGAAGGGGUAAAAUCCUUUGAUCUAUUGAUGACCACCUGUGGCGAAGGCGGUCUACCAGAACACGUCCGACGGUGAGGGAUGAAAGCUGGGGGAGCAAACCGGAUUAGAUACCCGGGUAGUCCCAGCUGUAAACUAUGCAAACUCAGUGAUGCAUUGGCUUGUGGCCAAUGCAGUGCUGCAGGGAAGCCGUUAAGUUUGCCGCCUGGGAAGUACGUACGCAAGUAUGAAACUUAAAGGAAUUGGCGGGGGAGCACCACAAGGGGUGAAGCCUGCGGUUCAAUUGGAUUCAACGCCGGA